GGCCGUUUAGCUCAGUUGGUUAGAGCGUCGUGCUAAUAACGCGAAGGUCGCGGGUUCGAUACCCGUAAUGGCCA
rnacentral:tRNA from 1 species